CUUUAUUAGCUUGUAGCCGGACCCUCCUCUUCCUCUGUGUCUCGGCUUGGUUGCUGGAAUUCUUUUGGAAAUCCUUGCUAUUCCAGUGGCUUUGAAGUGCAACGUCCACCACAACCUUUUUAAGGAAGACUGGUUUGUGUGCGCCAGUAGUCAGUGCUUCAAAAUGGGGAAAAUGAAAGAGUUGAAUGAGUUUGAACGUGGCAUGAUAAUUGGCACGAUUCUUUCAGGCAAGAGUGUAGCGGAGGCUGCUAAGCUGCUCGGCUACUCGCGUGCAACAGUAUCUCGUGUGUAUCGAGAGUGGUCCAAUUCCCAAACGGCUGAAGACAAAGAGCAGGCUAGUGCCCAGAAACCGGUGGUGGCUCAGUAAAUGCUCCAGUGUACCCCAAUCUCCACAUCAUGCUGAAAGACACAGGAAUCUUGAGAAUAACCUACAAGCUAAAGUCCACCUUCUGUUAUGGCUUACAGUCUGCAGUCUUGCUACCCAUAAGGCCAGCUGUAUUCAAGACCUUUUAACUCGACAUACUGAUGCAUCAUGUGAAUCAGUGGACUACUCCUGUGGAUGCCCUCCUUACACCUGUCUACUGGAGCCCUUGGUAAAAUGUGUGGUACAGUUUUUUUAUAUGGUGUGCACAAUUUAGUUACAUCUAUAUUUGAUUAUUUUAAAGCAUAUGUUUCCAUUCCUAGACAGUUAUCAGCCUGACUUGCGGAGUUGAAUCCAUGUCAGGUGAGAAGUUUCUAGAGUGGGUUUGGCUCCAUUAUACCUUUUAAUCAGUGUUAUUCUUUAAGUGCUGUAAUUAUUAGGUGCUGUGUUUUUUGCUUUUCUUCUCUCCCACUCUAGGUAAAAUGGUCCGAAAAAGAAUCUGAACCAUAGAGGUACCCAUUCCUUCCAAGGCAGUAUUUUUGGGAAUGCCAACAUUCCUGGAGUCUUGACUGAUUUGGUGUUAAUGUGUUUAGUAAGGUUCAGACGCACUUUAGGUCAGGCUUAAACUGCAAUAUGCAAGCUCACAAAUGGUUAAUUCCAUUACUCCCUAUGGGAAAGUCUCAAUGACCCAGAGGCAGAGUUAAGAAUUUCAACUAAUUGCUUUUGUAUAGUGUAGAAUUAAAGGGGUUUUCCCGUACUUGCCUAUUUUGUCAGAAUGGCUGUCAACUGACCAUUGCACUACAACUCUGCUCCCAUUCAUUGGACUGACAGCUGAGCUGCAGUACCACAGCAUGGCCACCAGUUGACAGCACCUUGUGCUUGCAGCUUCAGCCAUUGCAUUGAAUAGCUAGUCGGUGGGAGUGCCUGAUGUUUGGCCCCACUAAUCUGAUAUUGAUGACCUAUCCUGAUAGGUUCAGUAUCUAAAUACUGGAAAACCUCUUUAAAGGGAAUUGGCCACCUUCUUUGCCCUGAGGGCAGAAUAAGGUUGUGAUAUAAAACUUGUAUGCUGCCCUCUAAGCACAUGAGUGACUGAUUCCCUUAACUUUUAAUUGGUAUUAUCUGAGAAUUCUGCAGUAAGCUAUAAUUUCAUCCAAUAAGCUAAAGGUCACUUGUGAUUUAACAGUAACUGCCUUAUUGUGCUUGUAAUGUGCGGGGCAUUCUUUACCUUGGUGUCCUCUCCAGUAUCCUGGUGACUGUUGGGAGUGCAGGAAGACUUGGCUAUGGAAAAUGGCCACAUUCACUUUCCUCUAAGCAACCAAGGCAGAAAGUGUCUAAAACCCUUAAAUGUGGUGUAUCGCAUGCACCAAAACUCUUGCAAUGGUAAAUCUUCCCUAAUAUAUACUACAGUGUUAAUGCUUCAUAUUAAAGUUGUUUUGGAGCAGAAUCCAUUUGAUACCCUCUUGGGCAGCACAGAAUUGUACCAGUUCAUGCCUUGUUUCCAACCUGCAUAGGCUUUAGUUUAAGUGGACUGUCCCUGUGUAGCCCAGUCUUCUGCACUUCACAACCUACUGGUAAAAUUCCUACACGACCUGUGGUGUGCUUGGAGGGAAAUUCUAUGCACCUCUGGGACAACUCUUAAUAGAAAGGUUUAGUAAUUUGAUAUAAUCAUGCUAGAUCAAGCAUUCUUAGCUAUGUGAAGUGUUUGAACCAUUGUUUUG